rnacentral:misc_RNA from 1 species
AUGAAGAUAGUUCAUUCCCCUAGCGAUAUCAAGAGAAAAUCUCCAAAUUUUGGAUGGAGAAAGACGCCCCUUCUUCUGAAGAUAACUUGCGAAGUCACCUUUUGGAUGAUACUCUAAGACAAUCAUCAUGGGUAUAUUUUGGGUAACAGCCCCAACAAACUGAACCACAUUAGGAUGUCUGACCUUCUGUAAUAAGGUUAGCUCUUGUUUGAAAGCAUUUCUGUAAUAUAAACAAAGAUGAGGGAGAGAAGAUUGAAAUUAAUAUAUACUCUUAAAGCCAUGAAUAAUAAAUUCUACAGUUCUUUGGAACAGAAGAAAUUCAAAUAAAUUACUGCAGAGCAACUCUAGCAGCAAAAAUUUAGUGUGCUGGGCCACUUAUUAAAUAACAUUUUUACGAAAAAUACAGUUAUUAUUUAUUUGAAUACCCAUACAUAAACAAAAUAAUUGGACAUAGGCAACCAACAAAAGAUAAUAAAAAUGAUUUCCGUUGCUUAAAGAAAGUAAAUUCUAAUGGCAUAUCCUGACAUAUUGACAGUAGUAGAUAUAAUUACUGGGACAAUAAACAAUCAUAUUCUUUUGCACAAACUGAAGAAGAAAGGACUCAGGCAGGCCAGUCCAACAUGAAGAAAGACAGGCAUAUGCACAUUUUUAUUAGAAAGAAACUGAUGACAGGUUUACAACUGAAACUGCAAACUUAAUUGAAAAUAUACUGCAUUAUGAAGUUGUUGAUCAAGAGAUUCCAUUACAAACCAAAAAGAACACCUGAAUUUUUUUUUUAAGUUUCUUGGUAUCAGGGCCUGAGUUUAUCAAAGCCAUAACCACCAACUGGGAUUACUGUAACUCUUCUAUGUCAUGGAACAUCUAUAAUCAAGCUAAAAUGAAUCAAAGGUUAGCUGGUACUUGCUUCCAAAAAUAUCCCUAACUUUUCUUGUAAAUUUAUACAAGAAAAUUUUGUUAGUGGGGAGCAUUAUAUAUAAAUGUAAUUUAGAAAUUUUUUUCCCUAAACAAGUCUAUAACGGAAGAAAAUACAAAAUAUAUGAUAGUAUCCACUUAUUUUAUAUGUAGAUUACACCUGUUCGGUGUUUUUGGUCCAUCACAAAUUAAAUUUAGGCAAGACAAAUAUGUAGAUCUAUAUCUUCCCCCUCAUUUUGUCUUCCAUACAUGUGUAUAUGUAUUUACAUGAAAUUAUUUGACAUAAGAGGUUUAGAUUUGAUUUUAAUGAAAACUGACUUUCGAUUUGUUCAAUUAUAUUCGUAAAUAAACAUUAAUUCACAAAUGUAUUUAAUCACUCAUUUAAAAUGUGUUUAAAAUAACAUAUUUUUUUAUAAGGUAUUUCAAAUAUAUAUAACUUCAUGGCUUUUCAUUAAGCACAAGAUUAUUAUAAUUCAAAUUUAAUACAUGAGCAAUUUAAUUUUAUGAAAGUAAAUGGACAAUAUUUACGAAAAAAAAUUAUGGAAGCACAUAUCUAUGUUUGGGGUAAAGAUAUCUUUAAAAGUGGGGACAAAUUUUAAUUAUUACAUGAAACAAAAAAUUUAAUAUAUUUAAAAGAAAAUUGUGGGGCCUGUGGGGCAAGUGCCCCCACUGCCCCACCAUAGAUCUGUCCCUGUUUACGGCAUGUCAUAAAUCAAACUUACAAGUAUUAUGGUGUAGUGCCUCAUGUGAAGAAAACAUUAACAAGCAGGAAGUGAUUGAAGCGGAUUCCCAUAUUCCCCAUGCACCAAAAUAAUAAUUAAAGCAGAUGUACUAAAAUUGAAUUCUAAUGCAACAUUGUCAUAUAGACAGGAAUCAAAAUUUGGAAUAGAGGGCUUUCGUCACAAUAAAAAGGAUAGAUAAUUCUCCUAACUACAAAGCAAAAAUAUAUGUGUAUUGAAAUCUAAACAGGAUAUUGAUAAUCCCAUAGUCUUAAAUUCUAAUAUCUGGAAUAAGAACAUAAUUAUGUGAUUCUUUAG